CCCUUAGAUGUCCGGGGCCGCACGCGCGCUACACUGAAGGAAUCAGCGUGGCUUUCUCCCUGACCCGAAAGGGUUGGGAAACCCGUUGAAUCUCCUUCGUGAUAGGGAUUGGGGCUUGAAAUUGUUCCCCAUGAACGAGGAAUUCCCAGUAAGCGCGAGUCAUAAGCUCGCGUUGAUUACGUCCCUGCCCUUUGUACACACCGCCCGUCGCUACUACCGAUUGAUUGAUCCGUGAAUUACAUAGAAUUUUGCGUUUUACAUGACGGAAGAUGAAGUGUUUUAAACCUUAUCAUUUAGAGGAAGGAGAAGUCGUAACA
rnacentral:rRNA from 1 species